UACAGAGGUGGCAAGCGUUGUUCGGAAUUACUGGGCGUAAAGGGCGCGUAGGCGGCCAUCUAAGUCAGACGUGAAAUCCCCCGGCUUAACCUGGGAACUGCGUCUGAUACUGGAAGGCUUGAGUAUGGGAGAGGGAUGUAGAAUUCCAGGUGUAGCGGUGAAAUGCGUUGAGAUCGGAAGGAACGCCCGUGGCGAAAGCGAGGCCCUGGACCCUUACUGACGCUGAGACGCGAAAGCCAGGGGAGCGAACGGG
rnacentral:rRNA from 1 species